AAAACUUUAAGUUAAAUUAAAACUAAUAAUCUUCAAAAUUAUCAUUAAAUUAAAAAUUUAAGUUUUA
rnacentral:tRNA from 1 species